CCUACGGGAGGCAGCAGUGGGGAAUAUUGCACAAUGGGGGAAACCCUGAUGCAGCGACGCCGCGUGAGUGAAGAAGUAUUUCGGUACGUAAAGCUCUAUCAGCAGGGAAGAAAAUGACGGUACCUGACUAAGAAGCCCCGGCUAACUACGUGCCAGCAGCCGCGGUAAUACGUAGGGGGCAAGCGUUAUCCGGAUUUACUGGUGGUAAAGGGAGCGUGGACGGCUGCGCAAGUCUGAAGUGAAAUCCCAGGGCUUAACCAUGGAACUGCUUUGGAAACUGUGCAGCUGGAGUGCAGGAGAGGGAAGCGGAAUUCCUGGGGUAGCGGUGAAAUGCGUAGAGAUCGGGAGGAACACCAGUGGCGAAGGCGGCCUACUGGGCUUUAACUGACGCUGAGGCACGAAAGCAUGGGUAGCAAACAGGAUUAGAUACCCCAGUAGUC
rnacentral:rRNA from 1 species